rnacentral:rRNA from 1 species
GACGAACGCUGGCGGCGUGCUUAACACAUGCAAGUCGAACGGAAAGGCCCUGCUUUUGUGGGGUGCUCGAGUGGCGAACGGGUGAGUAACACGUGAGUAACCUGCCCUUGACUUUGGGAUAACUUCAGGAAACUGGGGCUAAUACCGGAUAGGAGCUCCUGCUGCAUGGUGGGGGUUGGAAAGUUUCGGCGGUUGGGGAUGGACUCGCGGCUUAUCAGCUUGUUGGUGGGGUAGUGGCUUACCAAGGCUUUGACGGGUAGCUGGCCUGAGAGGGUGACCGGCCACAUUGGGACUGAGAUACGGCCCAGACUCCUACGGGAGGCAGCAGUGGGGAAUAUUGCACAAUGGGCGGAAGCCUGAUGCGGCAACGCCGCGUGCGGGAUGACGGCCUUCGGGUUGUAAACCGCUUUCGCCUGUGACGAAGCGUGAGUGACGGUAAUGGGUAAAGAAGCACCGGCUAACUACGUG